AUUAGUUUCAGUAAAAUCUAAAAUUAAUAAAAUUAAAAUAUAUUCCAGAAAAUAAUAAAGUCCUACUAAUACAUAAUACGUCAAUUACAAUAAUGAAAUUCAAGAACGGAAUUUCACAUUAGGUCCACACACCAUACUCCAAUCAAUAGUCAUAAUUGUUACCAGUGUGAGUUUAAUAGAUAUAAGUGUUAGAUAAGAAUCAACAAUCAAUCAAAAUAUGUAUAUAUAUACAUGUGUGUGUGUGUGUGUAUUGCAUAAAUAAAUUCGAGAUAUAUAUAAAAAUUAUAUGCUAAUCAUCAAAUAAAUUACAACUAUGUAUAUUGACAAAAUCUGAAUUAAACCAAACUACUAUCAAACAAACAAAAUAACGAUUGAGACUUCUGUACUGCAAUGUCCUUGAAACAAACUUUCUCCCCUACUCUAUGCUAGUGGUUUGAUGGGCAUUUGCUUCACUAGGACUCAACAAUCAAACUAAGAUUCUAGCAAACCUGGUUUCUGGCCAAUUUCUCUAUGAUUCUCUUAGUAGUAUGAAAAAAAAAAUCUAUGUUGUAAAUGCAUUGCAUAUUAACCUAUAUAUAAUAUGCAUGCCUUUUCGCAAAAGGUAUGGAUUUAUGAUGUAUCUUAUGGGAGGCAUCUGCUCAUAAGGGGUGUGUUUCUCUAGUUUUCUUUCGUCAUCUUAGACUUAUAGGAAAGUAUGAGUUAUUGAAUUUAACCAAAUAAAUAAAUAAUUAUUAGAUUUAGGUAAUACUAGGAGACUAAAUUUGUAGACAAAAUUUUGUAAACUAAAUGACAUAGAAGUUGAUGAUUUAAUUAUUACUUAAUCUUUUAUAAACGUGCUCAUUCCUAUUGGUGACACAUCAUUUAGUUUGUAAAUAUUGUCUACAAAUUUAGUCUUCCUACCAACAACAACAACAACAACAACAACAAAGCCUUUUCCCACUAAGUGGAGUCGGCUAUAUGAAUCCUAGAACGCCAUUGCGCUCGGUUUUGUGUCAUGUCCUCCGUUAGAUCCAAGUACUCUAAGUCUUUUCUUAGGGUCUCUUCCAAAGUUUUCCUAGGUCUUCCUCUACCCCUUCGGCCCCGAACCUCUGUUCCGUAGUCACAUCUUCGAACCGGAGCGUCAGUAGGCCUUCUUUGCACAUGUCCAAACCACCGUAACCGAUUUUCUCUCAUAUUUCCUUCAACUUCGGCUACUCCUACUUUACCUCGGAUAUCCUCAUUCACAAUCUUCUCCUUUCUCGUGUGCCCACACAUCCCACGAAGCAUCCUUAUCUCCGCUACACCCAUUUUGUGUACGUGUUGAUGCUUCACCGCCCAACAUUCUGUGCCAUACAACAUCGCUGGCCUUAUUGCCGUCCUAUAAAAUUUUCCCUUGAGCUUCAGUGACCUACGACGAUCACACAACACGCCGGAUGCACUCUUACACUUCAUCCAUCCAGCUUGUAUUCUAUGGUUGAGAUCUCCAUCUAAUUCUCCGUUCUCUUGCAAGAUAGAUCCUAGGUAGCGAAAACGGUCGCUUUUUGUGAUCGUCGCUAGAUUGCUCCGGUCAUUAGUGUGGAUAAGUAUAUAAAUGGAUAGAGAUAGGAAAGCAAACACCAGAUGUACGUGGUUCACCCAUAUUGGCUACGUCCAUGAAAUAGAGGAGUUCUCAUUAAUUGUGAAGGGUUUACACAAGUACAUAGGUUCAAGCUCUCUUUUAGUGAGUACAAGUGAAUGAUUUAGUACAAAUGACAUUAGGAAAUAUUGUGGGAGAAUGAUCUCGUAAUCACGAAACUUCUAAGUUCCGGAGUGUGGUAUCGUCUUGACUUGCCUUAUCUGUCUCGUAGGUAGAUGUGGCAUCUUCUCUGGAAGUACUCUUCCUCCAUCCAGGGGUGGUAUCUUUAACUGGUGGAGAUGCACAAGGUAAUGUAUCAAUUUCACUUGAAGCUUACUUGUAGUUUCAGGCUUGGUCAAGCGCGAUACAAACCAUGUAGUAGGAGUCCUCCAAGUCGCCAAGCUAGGGGAUCUGCUGAAAGAGGUGACACACAAGGUAAGCAAUCAGAGCUCCAAGCAAUCAGUCCCAGAUCAGAACUUUGAUUUCGAGUUCUGGCUGAUUGUUCACAUUCUCCCUAUCUUGCAGGCAGCAUGAAGGAUAAAGAGAAGAAAAAUGAGAAGAGAUGAUAUGGGAUACUUUUGCUUUUGAAGAAGUAACUUUCCACAGGCUUAUUCUUGAACUGGGCUGGAGGGUUUUCUGGUUUCCUCCAGAGUAUAAGGCCGACUGAAGAAUUUGAGGGUCAAAACAAGUCCAUCAAAUCUAUAGUACGUUCGACCCUGCUGAUAUGGGAUACUUUUGCUUUUGACAGAUUAGUGGAUGUAUCGGCACGUGUGCUGUUACGAUUGUCUCCACAUGCUUCCUUGUAUCUUUUCUCACUUGCCCUAUAUGUUCCUCAGGCAGAUGCGGUAUCUUUACUGAAAGCAUAAGAUGUUGAAGAUGAGUACUCGAGAGCAAUGCCAGGUAAGUAAUCAAGUAAGGGGUUCUAGGCAGUCAGUUCCUGACUGGAAGCUUGAUUCCAAGUGCUGACUGAUUGCUCUAUUUCUCCUUAUCUUGUAGGUAAGAACAAGGCCAAAGGAAAAGACAGGGAAAAAACAUGAUAUGGGAUACUCUUGCUUUUAACCCUGAUGAUAUGAGAUAUUCUUGCUCUAGUAUAGCUUGUUUGCAGAGGUAUUAUCGGGGGGAAAGAAAGCUGAAUAUUUCGAAAGGCUUCUUUGGGAGUGCCCUCUCAGAUAUGAGGAAGGGUUGAUCAUUUUUGCAGGUAUGCCUGUCUGUUGGGGAUGGAGGUCAACAUAUAUAGGAGUCUCCCUAACAACAAGUGGUAAUGCUAUUCCCUUACCCUGCUUGGUCAUAACACGGUAGUGGGAGCUGCCAGCUUCACAUGUUUUAACUUUGUCAGAGCACUUUGAAAAAGUGGUCUGUGGUAUCUGGAAAGCUGAUGUUGCGUGUAAAGAUUACAGACAAGCUUUAUCCAAGGAGAUCCGGCUCUUGAAGUUGGGAAAGUGGUGCCUCUUCGGUUUUCGAACAAGCAAUCUUGUUGGAGAUCUGGCUCUCGAGAUUCGGAGAACGAUGCCUUUUCGAUUUUUGAGAAAGCCAUCCUGCUAGGGGUCUGGCUCUCGAGAUUCGGAGAGCGGUGUCUCUUCGAUUUUUGAGAAAGUAAUCAUGUUGGGAGUCUGGUUCUCGAGAUUCGGAGGGCGGUGCCUCUUCGAUUUUGGAGCAAGCAGUCUUGUUGGGAGUGUUUUCUCAAAUGUGAGAAAAGGUUGGGCAUGUUUGCUAGUCUAUCUUGCCACGAAGCAUAGAGGUUGACACACAGGGACUUUCCAAUUAUCCAGCAGUGGUACUGUUCCUUUACCCUUGUGGGUAAUAAUAUGGUAGCUAGACCUUCAAAAUUUAUGUGUCUAAACUUUGUUAGUGCUAUUUCUUUGCUAUUCUUUUACCCUUCUUGGUCAGAGCGGUGUAGUGGGAGCUGCAAGCUUCACGUGUCUCAACUUUAUCAGAAAACUUUGGCAAAGUUAUCUGUGGUACCCAUGAGCUAAUGUUGCGUGUGGGAAGUGGGUGAUUGAAAAGUAAGAUUCAUGUGCUUUCUACUUCACCAGAAAUCUUCGACAUAAUGCCCAUAAUUUCCGCAAAGCUGACAGGUGCUGACAAGGCUGGAAAAGUAGGUGCCUCUUCGAUUUCUGAGAUCGGCUCUCGUGGUCUCUGAGCAGCCCAACUUUUGAGAAAUCAAGCACCUUUUCGAUUUCUGAGAUCGGCCUUCGUGGUCUUUGAGUAGCCCAACUUUUGAGAAAGCAAACGUCUCGUGGUCUCUGAGCAGCCCAGCUUUUGAGAAAGCAAACACCUCUUCGAUUUCUGAAGCUCCGUCGAGUGCAGAUUUUUAUAGAGGCUGGCAUUAAGUUCCAAAGCACACUUGAAUCUCCACCAGUAGAAGCUCCAUUCUUGCACUUCUAAGAUCUUGAUUUGUCCGACCUCUUCUCUCUUCAACACCUUUGAAAAUGUCUGGCCCUUCCGACCGUCGCUUUGACUUGAACCUUGUUGAAGAGGCAGCCACGCCUUCUCCAGACAACAUAUGGCGCCCAUCAUUCGUCUCCCCUACUGGUCCUCUUACUGUUGGGGAUUCCGUGAUGAAGAAUGAUAUGACCGCUGCGGUAGUGGCCAUGAACCUUCUCACUCCCAAAGAUAACAGACUACUUUCCAAACGGUCUGAUGAGUUGGCUGUUAAGGAUUCUCUGGCUCUCAGUGUUCAGUGUGCAGGUUCUGUGUCUAACAUGGGCCAACGCCUAUUUGCUCGAACCCGCCAAGUUGAAUCAUUGGCGACUGAAGUGAUGAGUCUCAAACAGGAGAUUAGAGGGCUCAAGCAUGAGAAUAAACAGUUGCACCGGCUCGCACAUGACUAUGCUACAAACAUGAAGAGGAAGCUUGACCAGAUGAAGGAAUCUGAUGGUCAGGUUUUACUUGAUCAUCAGAGAUUUGUGGGUUUGUUUCAAAGGCAUUUAUUGCCUUCGUCUUCUAGGGCUGUACCGCGUAAUGAAGCUCCAAAUGAUCAACCUCUGAUGCCUCCUCCUUCUAGGGUUCUGUCCAGUACUGAGGUUCCAAAUGAUCCCCCUCCAGUGCCUGCUCUUUCUGGGGCUCUACCGACUACUGAGACUUCUCCUAAGCAACCUUUGUGAAGGCUCCCUCUUGUUUGUUUAUUUUGACUCAUGUAUAUGUACAUAUUUGUGACUUAUCGGGGAUAUCAAUAAAUAGCUUUCCUUCAUUUCAACGUAUUGUGUUGAAUACACCAAAGCCUUCUUCGCUAAGUUCUCUGAAUUUUCUUUUGUUAAAGCUUGUAUGUUGAAGUUUUGUGAGUGGAGCAUGUAGGUUGAGGUAGUAUUCCCUUAAUUUCCCGAGUGAGGAAAACUUCUCGGUUGGAGACUUGGAAAAUCCAAGUCACUGAGUGGGAUCGGCUAUAUGAAUCUUUGAACGCCAUUGUGCUCGGUCCUGUGUCAUGUCCUCCGUUAGAUCCAAGUACUUUAAGUCUUUUCUUAGAGUUUCUUCCAAAGUUUUCCUAGGUCUUCCUCUACCCCUUCGGCCCUGAACCUCUGUCCCAUAGUCGCAUCUUCUAAUCGGAGCGUCAAUAGGCCUUCUUUGCACAUGUCCAAACCACCGUAACCGAUUUUCUCUCAUCUUUCCUUCAAUUUCGGCUACUCCUACUUUACCCCGGAUAUCUUCAUUCCUAAUCUUAUCCUUUCUUGUGUGCCCACACAUCCAACGAAGCAUCCUCAUCUCCGCUACACCCAUUUUGUGUACGUGUUGAUGCUUCACCGCCCAACAUUCUGUGCCA
rnacentral:lncRNA from 1 species